rnacentral:rRNA from 1 species
UACGUAGGGGGCAAGCGUUGUCCGGAUUUAUUGGGCGUAAAGAGCGUGUAGGCGGCUAGAUAGGUCCGUUGUGAAAACUCGAGGCUCAACCUCGAGACGUCGAUGGAAACCAUCUGGCUAGAGUCCGGAAGAGGAGAGUGGAAUUCCUGGUGUAGCGGUGAAAUGCGCAGAUAUCAGGAAGAACACCCGUGGCGAAGGCGGCUCUCUGGGCCGAUACUGACGCUGAGGAGCGAAAGCGUGGGGAGCGAACAGG